UUAUGAUUUGUACAGGAACCAGUGCAAUAAGACCACUUGAGGAAAACCUGCCCAAUAGGGACCGCUGUUGGUUGUUAGGUGACCAAUGUUUGCAUGAUGACCCCCAUCUUGGGAGCUGCUCCUAGAUCCCAUGAAGAUAUGCACAACAUUGCUGUGU
rnacentral:lncRNA from 1 species